CUCAGUGAAAUUGAACUCGCUGUGAAGAUGCAGUGUACCCGCGGCAAGACGGAAAGACCCCGUGAACCUUUACUAUAGCUUGACACUGAACAUUGAGCCUUGAUGUGUAGGAUAGGUGGGAGGCUUUGAAGUGUGGACGCCAGUCUGCAUGGAGCCGGCCUUGAAAUACCACCCUUUAAUGUUUGAUGUUCUAACGUGGACCCGUGAUCCGGGUUGCGGACAGUGUCUGGUGGGUAGUUUGACUGGGGCGGUCUCCUCCUAAAGAGUAACGGAGGAGCACGAAGGUUGGCUAAUCCUGGUCGGACAUCAGGAGGUUAGUGCAAUGGCAUAAGCCAGCUUGACUGCGAGCGUGACGGCGCGAGCAGGUGCGAAAGCAGGUCAUAGUGAUCCGGUGGUUCUGAAUGGAAGGGCCAUCGCUCAACGGAUAAAAGGUACUCCGGGGAUAACAGGCUGAUACCGCCCAAGAGUUCAUAUCGACGGCGGUGUUUGGCACCUCGAUGUCGGCUCAUCACAUCCUGGGGCUGAAGUAGGUCCCAAGGGUAUGGCUGUUCGCCAUUUAAAGUGGUACGCGAGCUGGGUUUAGAACGUCGUGAGACAGUUCGGUCCCUAUCUGCCGUGGGCGCUGGAGAACUGAGGGGGGCUGCUCCUAGUACGAGAGGACCGGAGUGGACGCAUCACUGGUGUUCGGGUUGUCAUGCCAAUGGCACUGCCCGGUAGCUAAAUGCGGAAGAGAUAAGUGCUGAAAGCAUCUAAGCACGAAACUUGCCCCGAGAUGAGUUCUCCCUGAGACUUAGAGUCUCCUGAAGGAACGUUGAAGACGACGACGUUGAUAGGCCGGGUGUGUAAGCGCAGCGAUGCGUUGAGCUAACCGGUACUAAUGAACCGUGAGGCUUAACCUUACAACGCCGAAG
rnacentral:rRNA from 1 species